CAGUCGUACCUGCGGGUAAUCAGCCUUUUGGGCAUGAUUCUGUGGAGCGUGAGGAGUUAAACGCCUUCAUGCCUGCAUAUUCGUGUACUUUGGGUGUACUUGCCUGUGUGGUUAGUUAACAUCAAUUUUGGUAUCAAUAAAAUGUUUGGAGGAAUGUAGCUUCGAUCUCGUAUGAAGUGUUAUAGCCGUUGGCAGAUGUGAUGA
rnacentral:rRNA from 1 species